rnacentral:rRNA from 1 species
GGUAAUUUUCCGCAAUGGGUGAAAGCCUGACGGAGCAAGACCGCGUGGGGGAAGAAGGCUCUUGGGUUGUAAACCCCUUUUCUCUGGGAAGAAAGUUGUGAAAGCAGCCUGACGGUACCAGAGGAAUCAGCAUCGGCUAACUCCGUGCCAGCAGCCGCGGUAAGACGGAGGAUGCAAGCGUUAUCCGGAAUGAUUGGGCGUAAAGCGUCCGCAGGUGGCAGUUCAAGUCUGCUGUCAAAGACCGGGGCUCAACCUCGGAAAGGCAGUGGAAACUGAACAGCUAGAGUAUGGUAGGGGCAAAGGGAAUUCCUGGUGCAGCGGUGAAAUGCGUAGAGAUCAGGAAGAACAUCGGUGGCGAAGGCGCUUUGCUGGACCAUAACUGACACUCAGGGACGAAAGCUAGGGGAGCGAAUGGGAUUAGAUACCCCAGUAGUCCUAGCCGUAAACGAUGGAUACUAGGUGUUGCCUGUAUCGACCCGGACAGUGCCGUAGCUAACGCG